GAACUGCACUCGGGUCCUCUGGAAGACUGAGCCAUCUCUCUAGGCUCCACAGAAUGUUGCUAGUUAAGUGCCCCUUGUUUCUUCCACUCCUCACCCAUCCCUGACACCUCCUUCCCCUCCCUCCCUAGUAAAUGCCUUCUAUACUCAGUGGUGUGUCUUUUUCCCCCACACAGUUUCCUUGGGCCAGAGUGCUCUGUCUCUGCACUCUAGCUCCAGUAUCUGAAGACAAAUAUUACCUCACAGAGCUGUGCCCAGGGUCCCAGCCCACAGGAAUGGUGCCGCCCACAUUCAGAGCGGGUCUUUCUAGAAUCCAGAGACUCCUUGACAGCUAUCCCCAGAGGUUUGUUUCCAUGGUGACUCUAAAUUCCAUCACGGGGAGAUGAAGAUCACCCAUUGCACCUGCCUUGAAGAUGGGUUUUCUAUUUCUAUCCCAGUGAGGUCUUGGAAAGGAUGUCAACCAGUGUGAACCUGCUUCCUUAUCUGCUAAUGGGGGCCGGGUGCAAGUGCCUAAGCAUCCGGGCCUUUUCUCUGUUAGGUAUCCAUAUAAUUUGGCUUGGCAUCUUGCUAUGUACUAAUGUGAUCCAGUCAGCACAUCUGGAGGAAAAGGAGGCUGACUCAGUGAUAUCAAAAGCUCUGGCUCGGUUCCUAGCUGGCCUGGAGUG